GAUGAACGCUGGCGGCGUGCCUAAUACAUGCAAGUCGAGCGAACAGACGAGGAGCUUGCUCCUCUGACGUUAGCGGCGGACGGGUGAGUAACACGUGGAUAACCUACCUAUAAGACUGGGAUAACUUCGGGAAACCGGAGCUAAUACCGGAUAAUAUAUUGAACCGCAUGGUUCAAUAGUGAAAGACGGUUUUGCUGUCACUUAUAGAUGGAUCCGCGCCGCAUUAGCUAGUUGGUAAGGUAACGGCUUACCAAGGCAACGAUGCGUAGCCGAACUGAGAGGGUGAUCGGCCACACUGGAACUGAGACACGGUCCAGACUCCUACGGGAGGCAGCAGUAGGGAAUCUUCCGCAAAGGGCGAAAGCUUGACGGAGCAACGCCGCGUGAGUGAUGAAGGUCUUCGGAUCGUAAAACUCUGUUAUUAGGGAAGAACAAAUGUGUAAGUAACUAUGCACGUCUUGACGGUACCUAAUCAGAAAGCCACGGCUAACUACGUG
rnacentral:rRNA from 1 species